UCUCGCGUCAGGAUAUGCCUAGGUGGGAUUAGCUAGUUGUGAGGUAAGGGCUCACCAAGGCGACGAUCCCUAGCUGGUCUGAGAGGAUGAUCAGCCACACUGGAACUGAGACACGGUCCAGACUCCUACGGGAGGCAGCAGUGGGGAAUAUUGCACAAUGGGCGCAAGCCUGAUGCAGCCAUGCCGCGUGUUGAAGAAGGCCUUCGGGUGUAAAGCACUUUCAGUCGUGAGGAAGGUNGUGUAGUUAAUAGCUGCAUUAUUUGACGUUAGCGACAGAAGAAGCACCGGCUAACUCCGUGCCAGCAGCCGCGGUAAUACGGAGGGUGCGAGCGUUAAUCGGAAUUACUGGGCGUAAAGCGCAUGCAGGUGGUUUGUUAAGUCAGAUGUGAAAGCCCGGGGCUCAACCUCGGAAUAGCAUUUGAAACUGGCAGACUAGAGUACUGUAGAGGGGGGUAGAAUUUCA
rnacentral:rRNA from 1 species